rnacentral:SRP_RNA from 1 species
GCUGGGCAUGGUGGUGCAUGCCUGUGGUCCCAGCUACUCAGGAGGCUGAGGCAGGAGGCAAGCUUGAGCCCAGGAGAUCGAGGCUGCAGUGAGCCAUGAUUGUGCCACUGCACUCCAGCCUGGGUGACAGAGCAUGACACUGCCUCUA